GGGUGGGGGGCUGGGGAAGGAAGCUGAAGAUGGGAAGCAAAAGACACCCAAAAAAGAAAAGACAGACUGAGGCAGAUGGUAAGAGAAUUGCCCAAGGCCAGGUAAACAUCAAUCCAUGCAAAGAAAAAUGGUGCUUCUAACCCAAAAAUGAGGAUACAGAAUCCUGUUAUCAAUUGCUUAGAAAAGAGAGCUAUUUGAGCAGGGAGGGGUUUGACAAAAGAGAGGAGGGACUGGGAAUCUAAAAAAAAAAAAAAAAAAAAAGUUCCUGGUCACCAUUUACAGUGUCUCUGCAGGGAAGAUUGGAGACUCUAGAGAAAAAAAAAACGAGUGCAGGAAAAAGUGCCUUCACAGAGCAGGUAAGAGGAGGCUGCUCAGAUUUAUGGAUUUUAUUAAGCCAGUUUUCUGAACUGCUCUGCUCUAAAGGAAAAUCGCCUCUGGCCAGCUGUCUGCCCUCCUUCAGGUGAGGAAGGAAGUUGGGGGGGGGCGGGGGCCGCUGGAGUUGGGGACAGACCCCAGGCAGGGUCCUGUGACUGCAGCUCAGAAGCACUGCAGGCGUUCCUGUUAGGGUGCCACACCAUGUCUCUAUCACAAAGGGGAAUUGGAAAUCAGUCCAUGUGAGGCAGAGAUGAACCCACAUGUGUUAUCCUCCCCAACAAUAAAUAAACAAACAGCCCAGACAGACGGAUGCCAGUCUAUCUAGAGCUUUGUGAUAAAAUGAGACCCAGGGUCGGAUGGAGACUGCAGACAGCUCUGAGCACUGGAGCCGCCAGGAACGUUGAUGCUACACAUUGCUAAGGGGAACAUAAUUUAUAGCACAAACCCUACGGCUUCCACUAAGGUUGAGUUUUCGUCUCAUUUUCUUGCCUUUUUAUUGGCUUCACUGCACGGUUGCCAAUAGCAACAUCCACUGUAGCAAGGGGAGUUCAACACCAUUGCAAUCUGCCAUACACUGGAGCCCUGACAAUGUCAACCAUCAAUCAAGUAGCUGUUUGUAAUUGCCUCCAUCUAUUUUUCCUGUCUUGAGGUAUCUUUCCUAUUGUGGGUCAAAAUUCAGAAACUGCUGACUAAUGCCAUGGGGCCGUUCCUUGGAGCCCAUGAGGCAGUGGAAAAGGACGGCAGCACCCUCCCUGUGCAACCCUGGGGACCCCCGGGCUGAGAGGCUGAACACUUGGGCAUCUGAGAUAUUUUUAAGCCCUUUUUUUUGCUAAAUAACGCAUGAUUUUCCAAGACUGUGAGAAAAGAAGGGAAAUAUAUCUUCAGUUGAAUUGUUUGAAGUCACUGGCUUUGUGCAGAUUUGCCAGGCUGAGGUUUCAUUGUAAGAAUACUACCUUACAGAUUGCAAGCAAUUUCACAAGCAACUAAUUCAUGAGUUUGAGAGUCUGCUUUAAGAGACCUAAAUAUCUUGGUUUUUAAUAAAAUGCUUAAAUUUUAACUAAA